rnacentral:lncRNA from 13 species
AUGGCACUGUCCUCCGGGUGCAGGGCUGGGGCCUGGGGUGCUACAGCCACCCCUGGACUGAGACUGGGCUGGGCCAGGACGGAGGCAAGGGAGAGGACAGGGGCCUGGACCUCCACUCAGAACCCUUGCAGGGGCACAAAAGGAGCUUCCCCGGCCUGCAGCACCCCACCCCCACCCCAGGCCGCACAGCAAGAGCACUGCGGAGCCACGCUGCCUCCUCUACCCCCUCCUCCAUCCCAUGUCGUCCCCGCCCCCCAUCAUGCAGCACCAGGGCCCCUUCUGCCCCCAGCAGAGGCCAGUACACCCAGGAGCAGGGAGUCAGAGGCAGAUUCUCCCGGACAGGGUGACCUGGUGGGGGCUGGGCCUAUUGUCACCCUCUCCCUUCCAGGCCAGACUCUCAGGUACCCCCACCUGGCCCGCUCCGCAUCCCCGGCCAGGCAGCAGGGCCUUUUGAGGUGGCUGCAGCAGCCUGGCUGUGCCAGCCCCUCCCCCAGCGCCAAGGCGGCCUCUGCACCAGGCGGAAGGACGCGGGGGCUUCAUCCCUCAGGGCCGGUUGGGCACCCCAGGGUGGGGGCUCGGGGCGGCCUGGACAUCCGGGAGGAUGGAUCCGCAGCCUCCCCCCCGACAGCCGGCGGCCCCUUCCGGGGUCUCCCAGGCCAGGGGCCGCCGCGUCCCUCCCACGGCCCAGGCUCCACACCUCCCGGGCCGGCUCAGGGCCGGGGUCCGCCCGCUCCGGUUCUGCUCCCCGCGGGGGAGCCGUUCGGGGCGUCGGGGGCUCUCAUGGAUCCGCGCUGGAUCGCAAGUGGCCCUGGAGGGUCCCUGACGUGCGCCCCCCGCCCUCCCCACCCGGAGAGGCAGCUGCGGGGAGAAGGGCGGCAGCGCGGCAGGCGGGCGUGGGCUGGGCCGGGGUCUGCCGGGCGCUGCGGGGGGCGGGGAAGGGCCUCGCCGUCCCGGGCGCCUCCGGGGCCGCCGCCUCCUUCUCCCGGGCGCCCGCCGGGUGCAGCCGCCCCCAGCGUCCCCGGGCCGGGCUGGUGA